rnacentral:lncRNA from 1 species
CCGAUUCGUUUCCACCGUAGCAACCUUAAACGACUCUGCUUAGCAACAGGUGAAUCCUACCCCUUGAUUUUAUUUCAAUCAAACAAGCCAAGAACUCCCUCUCUCUUUGCAUAAUAAUUUCCGAACUCGGAGAUCCCUUCAGUUCCUCCAAACACCCUUAUACCUUUCAUCUCCCUAUCUAAGCUUUAGUCUGUUGUGGUUACGAUGUUCCAGCUCCAAAUCACUCCAAAUCCUCACCAUAUACUCCUCAUACCCCCCUGAGCAUUAAACUUCCAUUAGUUGCCACAAAAUCCUCACCUAUUCUCGUUGAUUUCAGAUCUGAGUGUGAAGCAAAAGUCCUAGGUUUCCCAACCCAAUUCGGUCUCUUGAUGUUCAUCCCCAAUUGGAGUCGGGAAUUGCGUUAAAUAAUUGUUCUGGCCAAGAACAAUUGAUUAAUGUUAGUUUUGAAUUUGUUCCGAGAGUUGCCAGUUUCCAACCAAGGCGCCUUAAUUUGUUUGAAGCUCGUUGCUUGCCUUGCUCGGCGAGUUGUUUCAGUUCGUCGAUUCAAGCCCGGUCAAAUUGGAACUCCCCUCUCUUUUCUUUCAAUUCUGGUUUUAUUUUUUCACCUUUGUUGCUUCGUUCCACUUCCUUUUCUCUUUGUUUAUGUGGAAUAGUUCCAGUUGUUUAGGGUCAUUGAGUCAUUUGGCUAAUGACAUAGAUUUAGGGUUAACUAUUAAAAGCAUUUAUGUUUGGAUUACCCCUAUGUUGGUUGUUAUUUUAUAAAUUGAAUUUGUUUGAUGUUUUGGGUUGUUUUUGUUUAGUUUGGGUCCUGUGAUUAUGGGCUAGGCAGCCCAAACCCAAGUUUAUUGCUCAGCGUAAACAUGAGUAUCCAGGGAGGUUAAAAAUAGAGGCUUUUGGGGGUAGUUUAAGAAAUGGAAAAAGGGUAAUCUUUUGGUGACAAUUUAAGAAGCUUCUAAAAAGCUGAAAGUAGGCUAGCUUGGUUAACAAGCAAGAAAUUGGGGGACACCUAAGAUAAGAUAAGAAUUAGAAAGGGACUAGAAUUGAAAAAUUAUCUCAUGGUUGCCUUAUUUCUUCCUAUAAAGGCAUCUCAAUCUUUCCUUGCAAGGGGAACCUAAGAUAGACCUAAUAGAGAAAACUGAGAUGAUACCAAACGGCUAAAAAUUUUCAGGAAAUUUCACUGUUCGAUUAGUUUUUGGUGUUUUUUUAAGGUUCUUCUUUUUUGGAGCCAUUUUGAUGCACAUCCUAUUGAUGUUGGUUCAAUUUGGGGUUUUUGAAUGCUGGAUAUGAGCUGAAUUUGGGGUUAGAGUCUAGAUUUCUAGUUUUCUUAGUUCCUCCUAUUUAUUUUAAAUUCCUGAAAAUCACAAGCAGUCAUCCGGUUGAAGAUGGUCUGAUUUUGGGUCUUAAAUUGAUUUUUCGACAUAUGAGAGGCUAUUGUUCUAUUGAUGCAAUUGAUAUUGUUCCGCUGCUGCUGACUCCUCCUCCAUCUUACUUUCUUUGCUGUUGCCAGGUACAUAUCCUUGAUUUAAGUAUCUAAACAGAUCAUGGGAUGAUUUAUUGAAAAGAAAUGAAGAUUAUACUUUCCCAUUUAGCUUUUUUCUUAGCUUGUGGUAUCAAUUAUUUUUCCCAGUAUGCUUAAUGUGAAUUUGUGUUUAAAAACUUUAAGUUUCGAUUGGAAUUGUAGUAAGGCUACUGUUAGCGUUAAUGGUUGCCAUGUGUUAGAGUUAAUGGUUAAUGGAUUGAUCUAUUAAUAGAUGUCUUAGUAGUUUUGGAUCCGUGAUGUGCUGUUGAAUUACAAUGAUCAUAUUGUAGUUAGCAUUGAACAUGUAAUUAGGACGGGAUUUUGAAGAAUUGACAUGUUGAAUAUAGCCGAUUUGUUGUUGAUCUGGACUCGAUUUCGAGUCUGAUCUUCUGAUUUUCAGCUUAGACAUACCUGGGCUCUCAAGCCUAGACUGGGCUUGGUUUUGUUCAUCACAUACUCAGAUCCACUUGUUCACAAACUUGGGGUUGGAUUUAUUGAUUUCAUGGGCAUUUCAGCUUAGUGAUGUCCAUAAGUUUCCAAAUGUUUAAAGGGCUAUAGAUGUAAUUGUAGUUUUAAAAUCAGGUUUGAAGGCGUGUGAGUCUGGUACAGAGUUCUUGUAUGUAUGAGGUCAUUCAAUUAUGGAUUUGAGUUUAACGUGUUGCAUGUUAAAUUUUGCAUUAAUUGACGAUUGCAAAAACAUGUUCUAUUGGAGAUAGUAACGGUGCUUAAAACAUUGGUUGAUCUGCAUAUACGUUUGCCUUUUGUGUUGUUCGGUGCCUAGUCUCAUGCCCACAACAUGUCACUAAUAUUUGGGCUCUCUUUUGGUCCUGAACAUCGACGCCAUUUCAAUUUGAAAGGGAGCCCAUUGCAUUCGGACAACCUCACGAUUGUUUGUCUCUGAAUAGAGACUUUGAUGAGUGUUUGUGCGUGCCAUCAGGCCUGGAGUCCAUUGGGUAAUAACCUAACUCUAGUUGAAGUAGUCACAAUUCCCUUAGGUCUUAUUUUAACCGGUAUAUCUUCAUCGAAGGCGAGCUUUAUAAAUAACGUGAAAUAGUUUAUGACGCUCCAUAAUUUAGUUUGAAUACCCUUUAGAAUAGAAUCAGGUGUGCCGCAUCAAAAAAAUGACGAUUGCGUGGCCCUCAUUUUAAUUAAUUUUGUUUAAUCCUUUGAAUUCGAGGUGCGCCAUUUAGCAAAAUUUCAUGGCCCUCGCAAAGUUGCCAAUAUGUAGUUGAUCUAGGGGUAUUAUUUUAAUAAUUUAUCUCCCUAAACUCGGGUGCGCAUUUAUGUGAUCCAAAUCCAAAUCUCAACGUUAGUUAAAAUAUGUCAAAGACUGCAGGUGCAUUUAUGUGUCGUGGUUCAAGACGUGUUUUAACAACAUUGCAAUAUUCCUAAAAUAAAUAAAAGUGGUUAUAGUUAAAAUUGAACCAUAGGUUAAAACAUGUGCUAAAAUCAGAUAAUAGGCCAUUUAUAAUAGUUGAGCGACCGUGCUGGAACCAUGAAACUCAGGAAUGCCUAACACCUUCUCCCGGGUUAACAGAAUUCCUUACCCGGAUUUCUGUGAUCGUGGACUGUAAAACAGAGUCAAUCUUUUCCUUGAUUUGGGAUUUAAACCGGUGACUUGGGACACCAUUAAUUAUCCUAAAUGGCGACUUUGAAUUUUUAAUAAAUAAAUAAUCCCAUUUCGAUUGUCUUUUAAUUGGAAAAGCUCUCUAUCUAUGCCUUUCACGGGGUAUAGUAAAAAAGGAGGUGUGACAGCUCUGGCGACUCUGCUGGGGAACAAACCUAGAAUCUAUGGUUUAGGGUUCAAAAUUCAAGCUUAAAAUAAUUAUUGUAUUUUGGCUUUGUUUAUUAUUUGAUUUUUGUUACAUGUUUGGGCCUAAUGUGCUAAGUGUUGCUUUUACCGCUUUGAUAUCCUGUGAACUGUAUAUAAACCACUACGAAACCCUUCUCUUCUCAUCUUCGGGGAUGUGCUCACUGGUCGAAACUCCAUAUUUUGUUAGUGCCAUACCUUGAAAUAAGAAAGAGGCUCGGACAAGUUACUAAGCCAGAUGGCCUUUUGGUUCCUGGUACGUAGCCCCCCCUCGACUUGUUGGUCCGCUCGGGUACAUAGUCUAGAGCAUAUACCCAGGUAUUGAACCUAGAAUAACUCAGCCUCAUGCUGAAUCCCUAGUAGGAACACUUAUCUGCAUCAUGUACGUUUGACUUAGGGGACUCAACACAGGGGUUGGGUCCGUCUAGGACAGAUGUACCCAGAAUCAAAGACCAUCCUGAUGCAUAUCUUGCGUGCUACUUGUUCAUUUAUUGCUUCGAAUUUGCAUGCCAUAGUCUUUUGAAUUAAAAGAGAGAAUUUAGCAAAGAAAAUAGCAAUGUAAGGGCUAAGGGAGGUAAUUACCUAUUUUGAAAACUAAUGUCCCAAAUAUAUACUGGAACUCUGCCGAAAUUUUGAAAAAAAAAGAAAUUUUAUUGUUUUCAAGAAGAAAAAGAAAAGUUGGUUUUGUUUUGUAAAAAUGUCCCGAACUUCGCUAGAUUGAUUCACACAGGGUGUGAGAUAGUAGGCAACCCCCAUUUGGUCCAACUCCCUUUUUGCAAAAAUAGCCCCAAAAGAAUCAAAAGAAAUUCUUUGUGAUAAAUAAAUGCCAUUCUUGUCAAAAUUAGCCGAAUGCCCCUAAAAGGACGCAAGAAGGCUAUUUUCACAAAAACAGCCGCCUUGGGUUUCUUUUUUAAAUUUUUGGCUGGUAGCAAGCACAACCUUAAAAUCUUCCCCCGGAAGUGCUGAAAGGCCAUAUUUGCAAAGCUAGGUUUUUACUUUUGAAAUGAAAAUUUGAAAAAUGUUAACUUUGUUUUUGAGUCAACUAAAUCAUGAUUUUUGCUUAAUCACCCUAAUAAAUGUGUAGAAUGAGCAUGAAUCAAAAUUUGUCGAUAACAGUCAUGAACAAAAUCCCUUUAAAGCUGCAUAUAUGGUGAAAUGAUCUGGGUGAAACAGGGCAAGACAAGGUCAAUUCAUACUCGGGAGAUCUCACCGGGUUGUUAAAGAUUUAUCCCAGGGGGGACAUCAUAAAGGCGUUGGUUACGUUCUAGGACCCGACCCACAACGUAUUUCAUUUAUCAGAUUUUGAACACACCCAACCUUGGGAGAAAUUGCCGGAUAUAUCGGGGGUCCAAAAGUUCCUCUGAGACACCAGUACUUGAUUGAACCAAGGGCCGUCGCCAUACACAAAUUCUUAGAUUCACUAAAGAUAAGCAGGGGAUCCACGACAAGAUCUGGCAGCUGAUUUUUGUACUCCACAGUUUAUAUAUAAGAGGUACGGUCAUAUAGGGGGUUUAACAACCCGAAAAAUAAAAUCUGUAGUAAAGGAAACUGCCUUAAAUGUGAAGAACACAUGUGUUUUGCAUUUAUGGUAUUCUUCUUGGGCCUUUUGGUGUUUACCCGGAAAGAUGGAAAUAUUGAUAUACGGAUGGUUGGAGUUGUCAAAACUUUGCUUACUCAGGCUAAAAGUACACUCGCACCCAUGAUCUUAUCUGAAAUCUUCCGUGCCCUCACAACUUGCAAAGCUGGAGGAGACUUCUUUAAAUGAUGCAACUUGCUGUUACAGAUGUGGAUGAUCGAACAUCGAUGUCAUCAUCCUCAGUUCAUGAGUUAUAGGUCAACAAAAAAGGGCUGCAUAGAGGAAUUUCAUACCAGAGUUGAUGGGUUUAGCUUGCCAGAGGGGUUCACAGAAUGGUAUCACAUCUCCGUGCCAUCAAUGCAAGUCAAAUAGAGUGGAUAUUUGGGUGGCUUCUUAUCGAUGAGAUCAUAUAUAUGCCAGCUACCGGGCGUCAUUUCUUUUUGAUAGGUCUCAGGAGCAUCCAACCUUGUGCCCCAUACCGGGUUUGAGACAGUUAGGGAGAUGUCAAAUGGUUCCCAGGGAUAAAGACAUUAGUCAUCACGUGGUCGACAUCAGUCCCGAUGGUUAGUUUCAUGAAGUAGCAGCCUGCCAAAUUUAGAGCGAAUGCCAAUACUUGACGGAAAAUAAUCGAGUACGUGACCUGUCCAAAUGAGAGGUUGCUCUAGGAUACCUUGCUUGGUAUAAAAGGAAAGUGGAGUUCGGAAGGCCGACCAAAAGACCCCGUCUUCAGGAAUUUACUGAGGAGUCACAAAAACAAUGGGAUUGGUUGGCCAAGGAAAAUGAAUACAGGGCCACAAUAGGAAAGCUGAAAAGACAAGUCAAAGACCUUCAAUUAGAGAAUGGUUUGCAAGACGCAGCGGACGAGGGUGAAAAGAGAAGACUAGCUAAUGAAAAUGAAGCCCUGCGAGCCCAGAUUUAGAAAAUGAGAAUAGCAGCUGAAAAUCCCACCAGAAGUGUAAAAGAUGAGAAGCUCAUAGACAACCUGAGGCAGAAAGUAAAAGAAUAUGGUUUUGACUUGAACAAAGCAGAGGGUGAGCUAGCCCGGAUCCAAAAGAAAUUUGCCGAAAAUGCGAAAGAACGAGAACACAUGAUUGAACAGUUGAAAUAAAAGUACGACAACGAGGUUGGGGGAUUGAAGAAGAGGUUCAUCACUGUUGAAAAAAAAUGGUUAAGCAGGCAAAGGACUUUAAGGCUGAAAGAGAGUACUGUUACAUAGCAAUAGCACAACUAGAAAGAGAUUUGCAUCAAUUUCAAGAACUGAAUCGGGUAGCCGAACAACAUUUGGAAGCUAGGGCUCAGCAGAUUGGGCGAUUGUUGCAUGAAAAAGGUGUCAUAAGAGAGAGAGUUUGAAGGAUCGCUGAUUAUACCAUGAUAAAGUGCAGUAGUUGUGAAGAUAUGACUAGAUCCAUGUUCUUUUCCACCGUAAUGAUAUUUGUCAGCCAGGUAAUGGAAGACCUCUACCACUUUCAAGGAUAUUUAGCACGCAAGCCCGUGGCGAGACCGAAUAAUGUCCCGGGGGCCCAAGAGCACUAGAGGCACUAAUGUAUUCAUGAUUGUCAUCAGAGUCUGUUAGUUUAUUUAUGAAGUCUAUAUUUUCUUUUAUUGAAGUCAGUUCGAGUCUGUUGUUUUCAGAGUCUGUUUUGAGUCGGAGUCUGUCAAUUUAUCUUCUUAGAUCUGUUAGUUUUAUAAUUUGGUGGUUGUAAUCAAAACUGUUUUACUUUAUGAAAAUUGAAAUUCCCAAAAUUAUUUUGUUUCUAUACUUAUCUUCCAAAACUACGCUCGGUCUGAUUCAUGCAGGGUCAUGAUACGUAGGCAAUCUCCAUAAGAUUUGACCAUAACCAAGAAGAAAAGGAAAAAAAAUAAGAAAAGAAAAAAAGGGAGGAAAGAGAAAUAGGAAAAAACAGGCUAAAUAAAAAGAGAUAAGAGAGAAAAAGAAAAAGAGAAGUUGUAUAUAUGGUGAAAGCUGGGAUAACUCAAGCAGCCGAUCCAGUGCAUAAUAGAAAUCUAUAACCGCUCAGGUGCAUUCAUCCCCGAAUAUGUGGUUUCCUACCUGUUAAAACCUGACCGCUAACAAGUUUGUUGUUAUCCAAUUACAUACAGGUGGUUAGUUUUGUGGCAUUCUGGCAACUCACCCCUACAACACCCGUUCCAAAAACAAGUUGACUAUAGCCAACCAAGAUCAUGAUACAAGUAUCAUCGAUACCUCAAGAGAGGUGGAAGAGUUGGAUUUUAAUGCAAUGAAAGAAGAGGUGUAUAAACUGAAACAACAAAUGGCUGAAAUGUAGCAAGCAUGGGUAAGGGGGAAACCACCACCAGCCUAUCCCGCCAACCCUUCCUUCAUCCCGCAGCCCAGUCGCAUGAUCAUCUUGCCACCAAUCUGUCCCCAAGCUUUCCCAUCUACCAACACUACAAGGGCACAACCUCCCAGACACCACCAGCUCCACCACCGAAACUUGUUCCCCACUCUACUCCACUAGUUGCUCCUAUCUUCGUGGCACCCCUACCCGCUACACUCUACAGAUCUUCCAGCGAACCUUUGUUCCAAACCCAUGAUGACUAGUAUUAUCCCCUAGAACCUACUUUUAUAGCUCCGUAACCCUAUUCAUACACCCAUCAUUUUGAUAUCACUGCAGAAGCUACGAAACCAUCCAAAAAUCCUGAACAAGAAGAGAUUUUCAGGAAAGUUAAAAGCUUAGAACAAUCAUUCAGAGACAUGUAGGGGCUGGGAGGUCAAGUAAGUGUGGAGUACAAAGAUCUAUGUCUGUUUCAAGAUGUGCAGUUACUAGCAGGGUUUAAGAUGCCCAAAUUUGCUAGAUGGGUUCAAGUAAGUGUGCAUUCAUCACGCCGUGGGGAACAUAUUGCUAUAGCGUUAUGCCUUUCGGUCUGAAAAAUGCUGGGGCAACUUACAUGAGGGCAAUGACAACCAUAUUCCAUGACAUGAUACACAAGGAGAUCAAGGUCUAUGUGGAUGAUGUAAUUAUAAAGUCUAGGAAGUAGUUUGACCAUGUCAAAGAUCUUAGAAAAUUCUUCCAAAGGCUCUGCAGGUACAAUCUCAAGCUUAAUAUUGCGAAAUGCGCAAUCGGUGUGCCUUUUGGAAAGCUACUGGGAUUCAUAGUCAACCGUCGAGGAAUUAAGCUGGACUCGUCAAAGAUUAAAGCCAUCUGGUACAUGUUCAUACCAGGUAUUUGGUCCAAACAAGGAAAAUGAAAACGAGAGAGUUUUAUUGGUGAAAACCCUCACGGGAACCGUAAGGCGACGGGUGUUGAGAGGAAUAAAAAUGAGAGAGUCAUAUCGGUGAAAACCCUCAUGGGCACCGUAAGGCAACGAGAGCUGAGAGAAAUGCAAAAAUGAGAGAAUCUUUUUAUUGAAAACUCUCACGAGAAUCUUAAGGCGAAAUAGAGUUGAGAGAUUAAAAAAUGAAGAGGUCUAUUGGUGAAAACCUUUCAGGGCACCGUAGGAUGAAGAAGGUCAAGGUUUGGUUGAAGAAAUCAGGUUAUGGAAUUUCGGGGCAAUAAAGCAUGGCGACUAAGAGUUGAUUGAUUGGACAAACUGGCCCGACUAACCCGACAUGCGUGUCAUGAUCAUUGGUACUAGUUGUUCCACUAAGAUAAGUCUCUUUUCUUGUUUCUUUUAGCAGUCAUCCAGAUUUGGAUUCUUGUUAUCUUUAACUCUCAAAGCCAUUGCAUUUCAUUUUCUUUUGGAUCUCUAUUUUUCUAAGAUGUUUCAAGGUCAAUUUUUUCUGAGCAGGUAAGUAAGGAUUUCAAAGUUUACUAUUAGCUCCUAAAAGUGCAAAGCACAGUGUGGCCAGAACAUACCAAAGACAUCAUGACAUAAAAUGGGAUAUAAAGAAUCACCAAAAGCUUCAUUGGUGGAAUGAUUUGGUAAUCUCAGGAGAAAUUCAAAGAUUCUGAUAAAGGGGUCAGGAAUAUAAUUUAACGGUUUGGGUACAUAACACUCGGUUCAUCCAAGGUCGCGGGUUUUGAAAAGUCAAUCAGAAAGUCAAGCGGUUCGGGGACAAUUGGGGGAAGCUAGUCAAAAUAAAGCGUGACAGUGGGAAGGCCACUUUCAGCAAGAGUGCCACAACCUAACCACCACAUUUCAAACUGACAAGAUUUUUCUUUGAUUGAAAUAGGGGUAGAAAGUUCUGUUGUCUCAAGGAAACCCUCUGUAUGGGAAAAGCAAGCAACAGACAGGUGUGACCGUAAUUUUCAGGAUCUUCCUGGAAAAUGGGACUUAGUUUAAAAUUCAAAACAAUCAUGAGUACAAGAUCUAGAAUAAAUGAACCCCAAAGAAGUAUAAGUCGGUUUCAAAAUUUUUGUUCUGGAGAUAUAAUUCAGUUAAGAGUUGCCAGGACCCUCCUAGAGAAUGGGACCUAGUUUUUAAAAAACGAGUAGCAAAAUAUAGCAUAAAUGUACCCCAAAAGGAAUACAAGUUGGUCUCAAAGUUCGCAUAUUUUAAGAUAAGACUCAGCUGGGAGUUUUCAGGACCCUCUUGAAUAACAGGACUUAGCUUUAGGAUUUCAUUAGAUAACAAUAUUUAGCGUAAGUUUUGCUGUAGGGUAGUAUAAUUCAGCCAUAAGGAAUUGUCACUCUUAGGAUGAAAUUUGACUUUGGAUUGUCAGGACCCUCCUGGAUAAUGGGAUGUAGCUUUAAGGGCUGCUUAGAUAAUAAGAUGUAGUGAAAGUUGUGCUUUUAGAAGAUAUACCUUAGUGCUAAAAUUGUCACUAGGACUCCCUUGGAUAAUGGGACAACCUUAAUAUUUUUUUUCUAAGAUAACAAGAUAUAGUAGACUUAAAAUUGUCAUUUAAUUAAGAGUUAUCAGGACCCUCCUGGAUAAUGGGCGACAGUUAAGAACUUUGUAGACAACCAACCUUAGUGGAAGUCAUACCUUUAGAAAAUAUAAUUUUCUUUUAAAACUGUCAUUUAACUAAGAGUAGUCAGGACCCUCCUGGAUAAUGAGAUCUUUCUUUCAAAUUCUUAGUAAUAUUUGGUAACAUGAUUCAGUUUAACACUCAUGUAUGUGCCCAGCUACCAUACUGGGUAGAAAAUUUUCUUUGUUUUGCCUGUCUUGUUGAAAUCAGGCGCCCACCUGAAGAACAAGAGAAUAUAAUCAAGGUUUUAGCAAUCAGGCUCCCACUUGAAGAACAAGGGAAUACAAUUCAAGGUUUUAGUAAUCAGGCGCUCACCUGGAGAACAAGGGAAUAUAAUUCAAGUUUUAGCAAUCAGGAGCUCACCUGGAGAACAAGGAAAUACAGUUCAAGUUUGAGCAAUCGGGCGCCCACCUGGAGAACAAGGGAAUAUAAUUCAUGUUCUGGUAAUCAGGAACCCACCUGGAAAUCAAGGGAACACAAUUCAAGUUUCAGUAAUCAGGAACCUACCUGGAAAACAAGGGAACACAAUUCAAGUUUCAGCAAUCUGGCGCCCACUGGAGAACAAGGGAACACAAUUCAAGGUAUUAGCAAUCAGGAGCCCACCUGGAGAACAAGGGAAUACAAUUAAAAUUUUGGUAAUCAGGAGCCCAUCUAGAGAACAAGGGAAUACAAUUCAAGUUUUGGUAAUUAGGAGCCCACCUGGAGAAUAAGGGAAUACAGUUUAAGUUUUGGAAAUUAGGAGCCCCAUGGAGAACAAGGGAAUAAACUUCAAGUUUCAGCAACCAGGCGCUCACAUGGAGAACAAGCGAAUAUAAUUCAAAGUUUUGGCAAUCAGGAGCCCACCUGAAGAACAAGGGAUCACAAUUCAAACUUUUGGCAAUCAGGAGCCGACCUGGAGAACAAGGAAAUACCAUUCAAAUUUUUAGAAAUCAGGAGUCCACCUGAAGAACAAGGGAAUACCAUUCAAAGUUUUGGUAAUCAGGAGCCUGCCUGGAGAACAAUGAAAUGUAAUUCAAGUAUUGGUAAUAAGGAGACCGCCUGGAGUACAAGGGAAUACAAUUCAAAGUUUUGGCAAUCAGAAGCCCACCUGGAGAACAGGGGAAUACAAUUCAAAGUUUUGGUAAUCAGGAGCCCACCUGAAGAACAAGGAAAUACAAUUCAAGUUUUGGUAAUCAGGAGCCCACCUAGAGAACAAGGGAAUACAAUUCAAAGUUUUGGUAAUCAUGAGCCCAGCUGAAGAACAAGGGAAUACAAUUCAAGUUUUGGUGAUCAGGCAGCCACUUGGAGAAUAAGGGGAUACAAUUCAAGUUUUGGAAAUCAGGCGACCACCUAAAUAACAAGGGAAUAUCAUUCAAACUUUCGGCAAUCAGGAUCCCACCUGGAGAAUGAGGUAAUACAAUUCAAGUCUUGGUAAUCAGGCACCCACUUGGAGAAUAAGGGAACACAAUUCGAGUUCAACAAUUAGGCAUCCACCUGAAAAAAGGAAAAACAUCUCAAAUUACAAUUCAAGUCGGCAACAAAAGAAUUUCACAGGAAAAAUACAAGUCAACGAGGCAACAAGGAUCAAGAGCAAGUUUGAAGAUAUAUAUAGGAUCUUUUGUAACUCAUAGAUCAUAAUCUAGUCUAGCUUCUAUUUAUUUUGACAUGGUGUAAUAAGGGUGUUCAGUAAGCAGUAGCAGUAGCAACAGCAACAGUGAAAUCACAGCUCCAUGAUAGUCCCAGCUACCAGACAUUCCUAAAAUACACUGACCUGAUUAUUUUUUAGCCAAUGAUGUGUAGGAAACAUCAGAAGCAAGGUGCGGUCAAAUCUUUAAAAAAAUGCUUCCCAUGGAGUAUUCAAACGGGAAAAAAUUGCUCGUAUCCGCUCACUUUAUCUUUGCACGAAAACUCUUCGUGUUUCCAAGCAAAGAGGGGCAGCUGUGAGCAUGUAAUUUUUGUGCUAUAUAUGAAUUACUACCAUAAAUUCAAAACAAAAAAUUUCUUUCAUUGUUUGCAGUUUUAUGGAUUUUGUGGCAAUUUUUGUUAAUUGUUUGCAUUCAUCUAUGAAUUUUUAUUUUUAUUUAAUUAAUGAAAAAUAUAAAUAUACGUGCGUUUACAUUUAGGGUUCUUUUUAUAUUUUUAGGUUAAUUAGUUAAUCAAUUGUGGCAAAUAUGAAAGAAAAAAACAAAAAUAAUUUAUUUUGCAUUUUUUACUUUUUAAUUUGCAAAUUUUAUUGUUUUCUUUUGGUUUAGGACUUAGUCAAUUUUGGAAAAUGCAAUUAGUUAUCAAUUUUGUCUUAGAGAUAAAUCAAGUUUUUAUUUUUUGUAUUUAACAAAAUCUGAAAAUGAAGAAAAGGGAAAAUAGGAAAUUAAAAAGGAAACAAAAGGGGGUUUUAUAUCAGAUCUUGGGGCUCAAAUAAUCACUCCAUGUCCAAGCCCAAAUUAAGCCUUGGAUCUGCCCAAGUCCAGCCCCAUCACCUGGUCCAUUUCCACCCUAGCAACAUUAAACGACCCCGUUUAGCAACAGGUGAAUCCUACCCCUUGAUUUCAGUUCUAUCCAAUGUCCCAAGAACCCCCACUCUCUUUGCAUAAUCAUGUCCAAACUCAGAGAUCCCUUCAGUUCCUCCAAACACCCCUGUACCUUGUCGCCUCCCUAUCUAAGCUUUAAUCCGCCAUGGUUAUGACAUUCCAGCUCCAAAUCACUCCAAAUCCUCACCAUAUACUCCUCAUACCCCCAUAGCAUUAAAAUUCUAUUAGUUCCUACAAAAUCCUCAUCUAUUGUCGUUGAUUUCAGAUCUGAGUGAGAAGCAAAAAGCCUAGUUUUCCCAAUUCGAUUCAGUCUCUUGAUGUUCAUCCUCGAUUGGAGUCGGGACUUCCGUUAAACAAUUGUUCUGGCCAAGAACAAUUAAUUAAUGUUAGUUUUGGAUUUGUUCAAGAUUCGUCAGUUUCCAACCAAGGCGCCUUUAAUUGUUCGAAGCUUGUUGCUUGCCUCGCUCGAUGAGUUAUUUCAAUUCAUCAAUUCAGGUUCGGUCAAAUUGGUACUCCCCUCUCUUUUUUUUUUAAUUUUGGUUUUAUUUGUCGCACCUUUAUUGCUUUGUUCCUGUUCCUUUUCUCUUUGUUUAUGUGGAAUAGUUCCAGUUGUUUAGGGUCAUUGAGUUGUUUGGCUAAUGACAUAGAUUAAAGGUUAACUGUUAAAAGAAUUUAUGUUCUUAUUAUCCUUAUGUUGGUUGCUUUUUGAUAAAUUGAAUUUAGUUUGAUGUUUUGGGUUGUUUUGGUUUAGUUUAGGUCUUGUGAUUAUAGGCUAGGCAGUACAAACCCAAGUUUAUUGCUCAGGAUAAACAUGAGGGUCCGAGGAGGUUAAAAACAUAGGCAAUUGGGGAAUUGACAUUGUUCUACUGGUAUUGACUCCUCGUUCUUCUUACUUUCUUUGUUGUUUCCAGGUACAUAUCCUUGAUUUAAGCAUCUAAAAAGAUCAUGGGAUGAUUUAUUGAAAAGAAAUGAAGAUUAUACUUUCCUGUUUAGCUUAUUUCUUAGCUUGUGGUAUCAAUUAUUUUUCCCAGUAUGCUUAAUGUGAAUUUGUGUUUAAAAUCUUUAAGUUUCGAUUGAAAUUGUAGUAAGGCUACUGUUACGGUUAAUGGUUGCCAUGUGUUAGAUACCACAAGCUAUUGUAUUGUUUCGAUUGGAUACGUAAUGUGCUAUUGAAUUACAAUGAUCAUAUUGUAGUUAGCAUUGAUCAUGUAAUUAGGACGGGAUUAAGAAGAAUUGACAUGUUGAAUAUAGCAGAUUUUUUGUUGAUCUGGACUCGAUUUCGAGUCUGAUCUUCUGAUUUUGAGCUUAGACAUGCCUGGGCUCUCAAGCCUAGACUGGGCUUGGUUUUGUGCAUCACAUACUCAGAUCCACUUGUGCACAAACCUGGGGUUGGAUUUAUUGAUUUCAUGGGCAUUUCAGCUUAGUGAUGUCCAUAAGUUUCCAAAUGUUUAAAGGGUUGUAGAUAUAAUUGUGGUUUUAAAAUCAGGUUUGAAGGCUUGUGAGUCUGGUAUAGAGUUCUUGUAUGUAUGAGGUCAUUCAAUUAUGGAUAUGAGUUUAAUGUGUUGCAUGUUAAAUUUUGCAUUAAUUGACGAUUGCACAAACACGUUUUAUUGGAGAUAGUAACAGUGCUUAAAACAUUGGUCGACCUGCAUAUGCAUUUGCCUUUUCUAUGGUUCGAUGCUUAGUCUCAUGCCCACAACAUGUCACUAAUAUUUGGGCUCUUUUUUGGGCCUGAACAUCGAGGACAUUUCAAUUUGAAAGGAAGCCUAUUGCAUUCGGACAACCUUACAGUUCUUUGUCUCUGAAUAGAGGCUUUGAUGAGCGUUUGGGCUACAAUAAAGCCUGGAGUCCAUGGGGUAAUAACAUAGCUGUAGUUGAAGUAGUCACAAUUCCCUUAGGCCUUAUUUUAACCUGUAUAUCUUCAUCAGAGGCGAGCUUUAUUAAAUAACUUAAAAUAGUUUAUGGCCCUCCAUAACUUAGUUUUGAAUAUCCUUUAGAAUAGAAUCGAGGGGUGUCACGCCAAACAAAAUAACGAUUUCAUGGCCCUCGUUUUAAUUAAUUUUUUUAAUUCUUAGAAUUCAAGGCGCACCAUUUAGCGAAUUUUCAUGGCCCUCGCAAAGUUUCCAAAAAAGAACUGUUACAAAUAAUGAAGAAACUAGUAGAUUCAGA